UACGAAGGGGGCUAGCGUUGCUCGGAAUCACUGGGCGUAAAGGGUGCGUAGGCGGGUCUUUAAGUCAGGGGUGAAAUCCUGGAGCUCAACUCCAGAACUGCCUUUGAUACUGAGGAUCUUGAGUUCGGGAGAGGUGAGUGGAACUGCGAGUGUAGAGGUGAAAUUCGUAGAUAUUCGCAAGAACACCGGUGGCGAAGGCGGCUUCCUGGACAGUAACUGACGCUGAGACGCGAAAGCGUGGGGAGCAAACAGG
rnacentral:rRNA from 1 species